UACGUAGGGUGCAAGCGUUAAUCGGAAUUACUGGGCGUAAAGCGUGCGCAGGCGGUGAUGUAAGACAGAUGUGAAAUCCCCGGGCUCAACCUGGGAAUGGCGCGCGAAACGGGGGGGCUUGAGUUCGGGAGAGGAGCGUGGAAUUCCCAGUGUAGAGGUGAAAUUCGUAGAUAUUGGGAAGAACACCGGUGGCGAAGGCGGCGCUCUGGACCGAGACUGACGCUGAGGCGCGAAAGCGUGGGGAGCAAACAGG
rnacentral:rRNA from 1 species